rnacentral:tRNA from 1 species
GAGAGUAUAGCUCAGUGGUGGAGUGCCUGCUUACCAUGACAAGGUCCUGGGUUCAAUCCCCAGUACCUCCA